rnacentral:lncRNA from 10 species
UCAACUCUACAUAGCAUCUUCCCUUUAAUGAGCUUUUGGCAUUUCAAUCAUUUAUUUUUAAUCAAGUUCUAAUCCACUGUUUAGUUAGAUAUUUCCAAAGUAUUUUUACAAUGUAGUAUGUUUUUAAAAUUAGGUCUCCAUCUGUCAUUAUAUGGAAUGUGUGUGGGCAUUAGUGAAUGGACUUAUUUUUACCCUCUGAAUGCUAUUAUCUUGCUUAACCAUAUCCCUGGAAAGAAGUGUCAUUACAAGUGAUCUUUUCUUCCAUUUACUCACAAUUAAUUUUGCUUUGUUUUGUGAUCCACAGCUUCAGUUUUCGAAAAACCAAAUCAGCACCUUAACCUGUUUAAAGAGGAGCACAGAAAAUUGUUCUGCAGAAUUUAUGUUCUCUUUCCAUCUCCAAAUUAUUUCAUUGCCACAACAAAGACAUGUUCACUGAGCAUAUCACAGACCUCUUCAUUCUGAAUUUCUUAGAUUGAUAGUUUUGAUGCUCCUUCUAUUAAUACUUAAAUUGGUGAUGGUGUAAGGUGCCAAAAAAUGUAGAAGAUGAUCAAUCUUUUAUUUUAAUCAUCAAUUUCAAAACUAAUCAGAUAAUAUUGGAGCGAUUCCAUUUAAAAUGCAAAUCAGAAAUCAGCAUAUAACAUAUGGAGUAGGAUUUUCUCACAUUUUUUUUACAGUUAUUUAUUCCAUAUCUUUCUAGUCCUGGCAUAUAUGGAAUUUCAUUUCUAUAGGUUUUGAUGUACUCAUAUGCAUCUCUGAAAGUUGUUCUUUUACGGUUGGCCUAUUCGAAUAAUAUUAAUAAUAAUUUCUCUUAGCUAUUUCAGUCUACAUUGUCCCUCCUUCUCACUCCUCAAUUGUUUUCAUGCCAUUGCUGUGGAAUCAUACCAUGAACUCAUGACAUCUGUUUGCUCCACUUUUGGUAAUGCCAGGAAUCAGUCUUGGUGAUGUCAGGAUGCUCCAUCCUCUAAAAGUCUCCCACAAGUAUUUCACAUUUAAGAUAUGAUUCAUGGCAUAUACCUUUUGUAUCUCUCAUGGUCAAUUGAAUCCACUUGUCCUUUAACAAAAUUUAAUGCAAAUUCUGUAAUAAAGAAAAAUAUUGAUGUAAGUAUACUCUGCCAUCUGCUUCCUUUCUCUAUGCCAUGCCAUAUUGAUUUCAAUAGACCAGGUCAAAACUGAGUGUUGCCUGCUUUCAAGGUUGACCUCUGAAGGUCUCCUACUGUUUCGUCUCCUUGCUCCCUGGGGAGAGCCGCUAAGUCUUUUGUUGACAGCUGAAGGCAGGAUGAAAUAAAAUCUCCAUUUGACAUGCUUAUAAAUCAGUUUUCCUAUGGGACAAGAUUGUUGGUGUUGGGUGCUCAUUGAAAAUAGUCUUA